AGAUUGAACGCUAGCGGGAUGCUUUACACAUGCAAGUCGAACGGCAGCGCGGACUUCGGUCUGGCGGCGAGUGGCGAACGGGUGAGUAAUAUAUCGGAACGUGCCCAGUAGCGGGGGAUAACUACGCGAAGGCGUGGCUAAUACCGCAUACGCCCUACGGGGGAAAGGGGGGGAUCGCAAGACCUCUCACUAUUGGAGCGGCCGAUAUCAGAUUAGCUAGUUGGUGAGGUAAAGUCGUCACCAACGGACGACGACGUACUCGU
rnacentral:rRNA from 1 species